GUCUAUGGCCAUACCACCCUGAUUGUGCCUGAUCACAUCUGAUCUCAAAGCCAAGCAGAGUUGGGCCUGGUUAGUACUUGGAUGGGAGACCUGGGAAUACCAGGUGCUAUAGACU
rnacentral:rRNA from 1 species